GACGAACGCUGGCGGCGUGCUUAACACAUGCAAGUCGAACGGAAAGGCCCUGCUUUUGUGGGGUGCUCGAGUGGCGAACGGGUGAGUAACACGUGAGUAACCUGCCCUUGACUUUGGGAUAACUUCAGGAAACUGGGGCUAAUACCGGAUAGGAGCUCCUGCUGCAUGGUGGGGGUUGGAAAGUUUCGGCGGUUGGGGAUGGACUCGCGGCUUAUCAGCUUGUUGGUGGGGUAGUGGCUUACCAAGGCUUUGACGGGUAGCCGGCCUGAGAGGGUGACCAGCCACAUUGGGACUGAGAUACGGCCCAGACCCCUACGGGAGGCAGCAGUGGGGAAUAUUGCACAAUGGGCGGAAGCCUGAUGCAGCAACGCCGCGUGCGGGAUGACGGCCUUCGGGUUGUAAACCGCUUUCGCCUGUGACGAAGCGUGAGUGACGGUAAUGGGUAAAGAAGCACCGGCUAACUACGUG
rnacentral:rRNA from 1 species